CGGUGGUCGGAAGAUGCAGGGCUUCCCGUGACUGGGGCCGUCCGGCUCCGUGCCACCCGCAGUCCCCGACGCAUUUGUCUCUCGUCCGAAGGACGUCGCAGCCGGUCGGGCAGCGCAAGCGUGACGGCCUGAAGGCGGGGAAAUGGCAGGUGGCCGGUGGCGAUCCUCGUGUUCGUCGCCGGUUGUUAGCCGUCCCCGUAGUGGCACGUCGCUCGACCGAGGUGUCUAGAGUCCCCCCGGGGACCACGCGCCUCCUCCACCAGGAGCGAGCGAAGGGUCGCAGGCUUCGGGACCCGCGUUGUCGCACCGCUCUGCGGUGGGCUCGUGGUCGUCCGAUACCGUUGGCGAUCCGUGACUCGUUGGAGGCCGGAGGCUUGCGGCGAGUAGGUCGGUCACCCACCCGACCCGUCUUGAAACACGGACCAAGGAGUCCAACAUGUGCGCGAGUCAGUGGGUCUUGAACAGGCCCACGGGCGCAAUGAAAGCGAAGGCAGGCUCUCGUCUGCCGAGUUGGGAUCCCCGUCCCAGGGCGGGGCGCACCAACGACCCGUCCCGUCCGGUUCGCCGGUGGGAUGGAGUAUGAGCGUACACGUUGGGACCCGAAAGAUGGUGAACUAUGCCCGGACAGGACGAGGCCAGAG
rnacentral:rRNA from 1 species